CAGGUGCUGCAUGGCUGUCGUCAGCUCGUGUUGUGAAAUGUUGGGUUAAGUCCCGCAACGAGCGCAACCCUUAUCCUUUGUUGCCAGCGGUCCGGCCGGGAACUCAAAGGAGACUGCCAGUGAUAAACUGGAGGAAGGUGGGGAUGACGUCAAGUCAUCAUGGCCCUUACGACCAGGGCUACACACGUGCUACAAUGGCGCAUACAAAGAGAAGCGACCUCGCGAGAGCAAGCGGACCUCAUAAAGUGCGUCGUAGUCCGGAUUGGAGUCUGCAACUCGACUCCAUGAAGUCGGAAUCGCUAGUAAUCGUGGAUCAGAAUGCCACGGUGAAUACGUUCCCGGGCCUUGUACACACC
rnacentral:rRNA from 1 species